rnacentral:rRNA from 1 species
UUUAACUGAAGAGUUUGAUCAUGGCUCAGAUUGAACGCUGGCGGCAGGCUUAACACAUGCAAGUCGAGCGGGGGAAGGUAGCUUGCUACCGGACCUAGCGGCGGACGGGUGAGUAAUGCUUAGGAAUCUGCCUAUUAGUGGGGGACAACAUCUCGAAAGGGAUGCUAAUACCGCAUACGUCCUACGGGAGAAAGCAGG